rnacentral:tRNA from 1 species
GCCCUGGUGGUCUAGUAGUUAAGAUUCAGCGCUCUUGCCUCUGUGGCCUGGGUUCGUUUCCCAAUCAGGGAA